AUUGAACGCUGGCGGAAUGCUUUACACAUGCAAGUCGAACGGCAGCACGGACUUCGGUCUGGUGGCGAGUGGCGAACGGGUGAGUAAUGUAUCGGAACGUGCCCAGUCGUGGGGGAUAACGUAGUGAAAAUUACGCUAACACCGCAUACGAUCUAUGGAUGAAAGCGGGGGAUCGCAAGACAUCGCGCGAUUGGAGCGGCCGAUAUCAGAUUAGGUAGUUGGGGGGGUAAAGGCCCACCAAGCCAACGAUCAGUAGCUGAUCUGAGAGGACGACCAGCCACACUGGAACUGGGCCACGGUCAGGACUCCUACGGGAGGCAGCAGUGGGGAAUUUUGGACAAUGGGCGAAAGCCUGAUCCAGCCAUUCCGCGUGCAGGACGAAGGACCUCGGGUUGUAAACUGCUUUUGUACAGAACGAAAAGGUUUCUACUAAUACUAGGAGCUCAUGACGGUACUGUAAGAAUAAGCACCGGCUAACUACGUGCCAGCAGCCGCCGCAG
rnacentral:rRNA from 1 species